GUAGGUGGCAAGCGUUGUCCGGGAAUUAUUGGGCGUAAAGCGCGCGCAGGCGGUUCGUUUAAGUCUGAUGUGAAAGCCCACGGGCUCAACCGUGAGGGUCAUUGGAAACUGGAGAACUUGAGUACAGAAGAGGAAAGCGGAAUUCCACGUGUAGCGGUGAAAUGCGUAGAGAUGUGGAGGAACACCAGUGGCGAAGGCGGCUUUCUGGUCUGUAACUGACGCUGAGGCGCGAAAGCGUGGGGAGCAAACAGGAUUAGAUACCCUGGUAGUCCACGCCGUAAACGAUGAGUGCUAAGUGUUAGGGGGUUUCCGCCCCUUAGUGCUGCAGCUAACGCAUUAAGCACUCCGCCUGGGGAGUACGGCCGCAAAGGCUG
rnacentral:rRNA from 1 species